UUGGUUUGCUCAGCCUCAUUUUCUACAUAUACAAUGAAGGGCCUGCUGACGAUUUGACCUGUUUUUCCCAUGUUUAUUGAGGUUUUCAUUGACAGAAUCAAUGGAAUUCAUCAAGUUAAAUGAGUUAUCUAGAGGAAGCAGAAGGAGGCCAAGGAAGAGAAUGAAGAAGAAAGCAGAUGAAGAAGAUAAGAAGAGAAGCAAGGGCUCUAUCAGGAAGAGGG